GACGAACGCUGGCGGCGUGCUUAACACAUGCAAGUCGAACGGUAAGGCCCUUCGGGGUACACGAGUGGCGAACGGGUGAGUAACACGUGGGUGAUCUGCCCUGCACUUCGGGAUAAGCCUGGGAAACUGGGUCGAAUACCGGAUAGGACCACUGCCUACAUGGGUGGUGGGGGAAAGCUUUUGCGGUGUGGGAUGGGCCCGCGGCCUAUCAGCUUGUUGGUGGGGUGAUGGCCUACCAAGGCGACGACGGGUAGCCGGCCUGAGAGGGUGACCGGCCACACUGGGACUGAGAUACGGCCCAGACUCCUACGGGAGGCAGCAGUGGGGAAUUUUCCACAAUGGACGAAAGUCUGAUGGAGCAACGCCGCGUGCAGGAUGACAGCCUUCGGGUCGUAAACUGCUUUUAUGAGUGAAGAUUAUGACAGUAACUCAAGAAUAAGGGACGGCUAACUACGUGCCAGCAGCCGCGGUAA
rnacentral:rRNA from 1 species